rnacentral:lncRNA from 10 species
AGUGCUCCAAAAUACUCGGCCUGGGGGAGGCUGGUCCGUGAGCGUGCGCCCGGACCGUUCCGCCAUGCAUAGUGGACCCAGCACUACAGCAAGCCUGGCACGACCUCUAAGGCGGUUCGCGGCAACGUCCGCACGUCGGCUCGUUGGUCUAGGGGUAUGAUUCUCGCUUCGGGUGGGAUAAUCCUUACCUGUUCCUCCUCCGGAGGGCAGAUUAGAACAUGAUGAUUGGAGAUGCAUGAAACGUGAUUAACGUCUCUGCGUAAUCAGGACUUGCAACACCCUGAUUGCUCCUGUCUGAUUCUUUCUGACGAUCACUUACAUUUGUGUUAUGCUGAUUAGCAGAUAUCCACAAACAUAGCUAUGAAGUUCUGACUGGGAUAACCUUGCUGUUUGUCUAUUUUGCAGUCUUGCUAUUGCUGUUUGUCUAUUUUGCAGUCUUGCUAAAUUUGUUUGUUCUUGAAAAUUGUGAUUUGGUUUUUGUUGCUUUCUGGAAUUUAGGCAGUGAAAUAAUACAAAUGGGCUCUUUGUUUUUUGUCGUUUGAUAACUUUAAUCCUCACUUCUCAGGAAACAUUGCACAUCAGUAAAUAUCUGCAGUCUUGUGCACAUGGUGGUUGCCCUCAGGAUGGUAUUCAAUAGGAACUGUAUUUCUUUUUCCUUGAGGUAGGGUCUUGGUCUGUCGCCAAGGCAGGAGUGCACGGCGCAGAUGUAUAUACAUGGAUACAUUUGUUUUUGGAGAGUUGGUUGUUAAAAAUCUACCAGUACACCCCCAAGAAACUCAUCAUCACCAAUGACUUCUUCCCAAAUCCAGAGUCACUUUUCAGACUUGAGAUUGACCUCUCUUCAGCAUAUGGUAUGUUGACCACCCCCCUCUUUUGGUUUUUUUUUUUUUUUUUUUUGAGACAGUCUCACUCUGUUGCCCAGGCUAGAGUGCAGUGUGCAGUGGUGGGAUCAUGGCUCA